GGGGCUGGGGCUCAGGGGUAGAGCACAUGCCUGGUAGGCGUGAGGCACUGGGUUCGAUUCUCAGCACCGCAUCA
rnacentral:tRNA from 1 species